GACGAACGCUGGCGGCGUGCUUAACACAUGCAAGUCGAACGGAAAGGCCCUGCUUUUGUGGGGUGCUCGAGUGGCGAACGGGUGAGUAACACGUGAGUAACCUGCCCUUGACUUUGGGAUAACUUCAGGAAACUGGGGCUAAUACCGGAUAGGAGCUCCUGCUGCAUGGUGGGGGGUGGAAAGUUUCGGCGGUUGGGGAUGGACUCGCGGCUUAUCAGCUUGUUGGUGGGGUAGUGGCUUACCAAGGCUUUGACGGGUAGCCGGCCUGCGAGGGUGACCGGCCACAUUGGGACUGCGAUACGGCCCAGACUCCUGCGGGUGGCAGCAGUGGGGAAUAUUGCACAAUGGGCGGAAGCCUGAUGCAGCAACGCCGCGUGCGGGAGGACGGCCUUCGGGUUGUAAACCGCUUUCGCCUGUGACGAAGCGUGAGUGACGGUAAUGGGUAAAGAAGCACCGGCUAACUACGUG
rnacentral:rRNA from 1 species